rnacentral:lncRNA from 1 species
UGCUGGGGUUAGGGUUAGGGGUCAGCGCUAUGGUUAGGGUUAGGGUGAGCGCCAUGGUUAGGGUUAGGGCUAGAUGCCAGGCUGGGGUUAUCAUCAGCAGCCGCCCGGACUGCGAGUCGGCUGAUUUUUUGCAGGUCGGGACCCAGGAAACGCGGCGACAGUGGACGUGGCACUGGCUGGAUAGGUUGGGGAAAUAAUCCCGUCUCCCCUAAAUUGCCCUACUUGGGUCGGCGGGGAGCGGGGAAUGCACGGGCCUACGCCCCGUCGGACACGCUCCCCAGGUCCCGAAAGGCUGGCGGCUACUUCCGCCAGCUGAACCGUAUUUGGUCUGGUGUGUAUUAAUUUGUAAUGAAGUUCAUGUAGUCCUAUUUGACUUACUCACACAUACACAAUUCAUACAUGAUCUAUAUUUGAUCUAUGUAUCCCUACAAUGUGCCUGCUGCGUCGACGUUUCGACCUAAUUUGGUCUUCUUCAGGACUGGGCACAUGUAACAGCUAAGGCUGCUGGGCCCCAAUUCAUAGGGGUGGACCAGCCAGCAGCCAGAAAGAAAUGAAAAGCCCUACCAACUUGUCUCCCUUUUAUAUCCCCUCCGCCAAAAAUUAGACUGAAUUUACUUGUAUUUAAGUUAUUUUCUACUCUAUUUAGUUUUUGAAAUCUUAACCCUUUCUGCACCGCUUGUGCUUUAAAUCCAUAUUAAUUAUGUUUAUUCACAUAUUUGUGCUUUUAAUAAACAAAUUAAUAGGUAUUUUUGAUCCCAAUAUUAGGGUUAGGGUCCUGCUUGACCUUUGACCUCUGUGGCCUGCUUGGCCGUUGGUCAUUAAGUUGCCUCUAAUGGUUAGGGUUAGGGCGAGUCCCAGGUUAGGGUUAGAAUCCCAUACUAGGGUUAGGGUUAGGGUUAGAUUCCCAGGUUGGGGUUAGUGCUGGGGUUAGGGUUAGGGGUCAGCGCUAUGGUUAGGGUUAGGGUGAGCGCCAUGGUUAGGGUUAGGGCUAGAUGCCAGGCUGGGGUUAUCAUCAGCAGCCGCCCGGACUGCGAGUCGGCUGAUUUUUUGCAGGUCGGGACCCAGGAAACGCGGCGACAGUGGACGUGGCACUGGCUGGAUAGGUUGGGGAAAUAAUCCCGUCUCCCCUAAAUUGCCCUACUUGGGUCGGCGGGGAGCGGGGAAUGCACGGGCCUACGCCCCGUCGGACACGCUCCCCAGGUCCCGAAAGGCUGGCGGCUACUUCCGCCAGCUGAACCGUAUUUGGUCUGGUGUGUAUUAAUUUGUAAUGAAGUUCAUGUAGUCCUAUUUGACUUACUCACACAUACACAAUUCAUACAUGAUCUAUAUUUGAUCUAUGUAUCCCUACAAUGUGCCUGCUGCGUCGACGUUUCGACCUAAUUUGGUCUUCUUCAGGACUGGGCACAUGUAACAGCUAAGGCUGCUGGGCCCCAAUUCAUAGGGGUGGACCAGCCAGCAGCCAGAAAGAAAUGAAAAGCCCUACCAACUUGUCUCCCUUUUAUAUCCCCUCCGCCAAAAAUUAGACUGAAUUUACUUGUAUUUAAGUUAUUUUCUACUCUAUUUAGUUUUUGAAAUCUUAACCCUUUCUGCACCGCUUGUGCUUUAAAUCCAUAUUAAUUAUGUUUAUUCACAUAUUUGUGCUUUUAAUAAACAAAUUAAUAGGUAUUUUUGAUCCCAAUAUUAGGGUUAGGGUCCUGCUUGACCUUUGACCUCUGUGGCCUGCUUGGCCGUUGGUCAUUAAGUUGCCUCUAAUGGUUAGGGUUAGGGCGAGUCCCAGGUUAGGGUUAGAAUCCCAUACUAGGGUUAGGGUUAGGGUUAGAUUCCCAGGUUGGGGUUAGUGCUGGGGUUAGGGUUAGGGGUCAGCGCUAUGGUUAGGGUUAGGGUGAGCGCCAUGGUUAGGGUUAGGGCUAGAUGCCAGGCUGGGGUUAUCAUCAGCAGCCGCCCGGACUGCGAGUCGGCUGAUUUUUUGCAGGUCGGGACCCAGGAAACGCGGCGACAGUGGACGUGGCACUGGCUGGAUAGGUUGGGGAAAUAAUCCCGUCUCCCCUAAAUUGCCCUACUUGGGUCGGCGGGGAGCGGGGAAUGCACGGGCCUACGCCCCGUCGGACACGCUCCCCAGGUCCCGAAAGGCUGGCGGCUACUUCCGCCAGCUGAACCGUAUUUGGUCUGGUGUGUAUUAAUUUGUAAUGAAGUUCAUGUAGUCCUAUUUGACUUACUCACACAUACACAAUUCAUACAUGAUCUAUAUUUGAUCUAUGUAUCCCUACAAUGUGCCUGCUGCGUCGACGUUUCGACCUAAUUUGGUCUUCUUCAGGACUGGGCACAUGUAACAGCUAAGGCUGCUGGGCCCCAAUUCAUAGGGGUGGACCAGCCAGCAGCCAGAAAGAAAUGAAAAGCCCUACCAACUUGUCUCCCUUUUAUAUCCCCUCCGCCAAAAAUUAGACUGAAUUUACUUGUAUUUAAGUUAUUUUCUACUCUAUUUAGUUUUUGAAAUCUUAACCCUUUCUGCACCGCUUGUGCUUUAAAUCCAUAUUAAUUAUGUUUAUUCACAUAUUUGUGCUUUUAAUAAACAAAUUAAUAGGUAUUUUUGAUCCCAAUAUUAGGGUUAGGGUCCUGCUUGACCUUUGACCUCUGUGGCCUGCUUGGCCGUUGGUCAUUAAGUUGCCUCUAAUGGUUAGGGUUAGGGCGAGUCCCAGGUUAGGGUUAGAAUCCCAUACUAGGGUUAGGGUUAGGGUUAGAUUCCCAGGUUGGGGUUAGUGCUGGGGUUAGGGUUAGGGGUCAGCGCUAUGGUUAGGGUUAGGGUGAGCGCCAUGGUUAGGGUUAGGGCUAGAUGCCAGGCUGGGGUUAUCAUCAGCAGCCGCCCGGACUGCGAGUCGGCUGAUUUUUUGCAGGUCGGGACCCAGGAAACGCGGCGCACAGUGGACGUGGCACUGGCUGGAUAGGUUGGGGAAAUAAUCCCGUCUCCCCUAAAUUGCCCUACUUGGGUCGGCGGGGAGCGGGGAAUGCACGGGCCUACGCCCCGUCGGACACGCUCCCCAGGUCCCGAAAGGCUGGCGGCUACUUCCGCCAGCUGAACCGUAUUUGGUCUGGUGUGUAUUAAUUUGUAAUGAAGUUCAUGUAGUCCUAUUUGACUUACUCACACAUACACAAUUCAUACAUGAUCUAUAUUUGAUCUAUGUAUCCCUACAAUGUGCCUGCUGCGUCGACGUUUCGACCUAAUUUGGUCUUCUUCAGGACUGGGCACAUGUAACAGCUAAGGCUGCUGGGCCCCAAUUCAUAGGGGUGGACCAGCCAGCAGCCAGAAAGAAAUGAAAAGCCCUACCAACUUGUCUCCCUUUUAUAUCCCCUCCGCCAAAAAUUAGACUGAAUUUACUUGUAUUUAAGUUAUUUUCUACUCUAUUUAGUUUUUGAAAUUUAACCCUUUCUGCACCGCUUGUGCUUUAAAUCCAUAUUAAUUAUGUUUAUUCACAUAUUUGUGCUUUUAAUAAACAAAUUAAUAGGUAUUUUUGAUCCCAAUAUUAGGGUUAGGGUCCUGCUUGACCUUUGACCUCUGUGGCCUGCUUGGCCGUUGGUCAUUAAGUUGCCUCUAAUGGUUAGGGUUAGGGCGAGUCCCAGGUUAGGGUUAGAAUCCCAUACUAGGGUUAGGGUUAGGGUUAGAUUCCCAGGUUGGGGUUAGUGCUGGGGUUAGGGUUAGGGGUCAGCGCUAUGGUUAGGGUUAGGGUGAGCGCCAUGGUUAGGGUUAGGGCUAGAUGCCAGGCUGGGGUUAUCAUCAGCAGCCGCCCGGACUGCGAGUCGGCUGAUUUUUUGCAGGUCGGGACCCAGGAAACGCGGCGACAGUGGACGUGGCACUGGCUGGAUAGGUUGGGGAAAUAAUCCCGUCUCCCCUAAAUUGCCCUACUUGGGUCGGCGGGGAGCGGGGAAUGCACGGGCCUACGCCCCGUCGGACACGCUCCCCAGGUCCCGAAAGGCUGGCGGCUACUUCCGCCAGCUGAACCGUAUUUGGUCUGGUGUGUAUUAAUUUGUAAUGAAGUUCAUGUAGUCCUAUUUGACUUACUCACACAUACACAAUUCAUACAUGAUCUAUAUUUGAUCUAUGUAUCCCUACAAUGUGCCUGCUGCGUCGACGUUUCGACCUAAUUUGGUCUUCUUCAGGACUGGGCACAUGUAACAGCUAAGGCUGCUGGGCCCCAAUUCAUAGGGGUGGACCAGCCAGCAGCCAGAAAGAAAUGAAAAGCCCUACCAACUUGUCUCCCUUUUAUAUCCCCUCCGCCAAAAAUUAGACUGAAUUUACUUGUAUUUAAGUUAUUUUCUACUCUAUUUAGUUUUUGAAAUCUUAACCCUUUCUGCACCGCUUGUGCUUUAAAUCCAUAUUAAUUAUGUUUAUUCACAUAUUUGUGCUUUUAAUAAACAAAUUAAUAGGUAUUUUUGAUCCCAAUAUUAGGGUUAGGGUCCUGCUUGACCUUUGACCUCUGUGGCCUGCUUGGCCGUUGGUCAUUAAGUUGCCUCUAAUGGUUAGGGUUAGGGCGAGUCCCAGGUUAGGGUUAGAAUCCCAUACUAGGGUUAGGGUUAGGGUUAGAUUCCCAGGUUGGGGUUAGUGCUGGGGUUAGGGUUAGGGGUCAGCGCUAUGGUUAGGGUUAGGGUGAGCGCCAUGGUUAGGGUUAGGGCUAGAUGCCAGGCUGGGGUUAUCAUCAGCAGCCGCCCGGACUGCGAGUCGGCUGAUUUUUUGCAGGUCGGGACCCAGGAAACGCGGCGACAGUGGACGUGGCACUGGCUGGAUAGGUUGGGGAAAUAAUCCCGUCUCCCCUAAAUUGCCCUACUUGGGUCGGCGGGGAGCGGGGAAUGCACGGGCCUACGCCCCGUCGGACACGCUCCCCAGGUCCCGAAAGGCUGGCGGCUACUUCCGCCAGCUGAACCGUAUUUGGUCUGGUGUGUAUUAAUUUGUAAUGAAGUUCAUGUAGUCCUAUUUGACUUACUCACACAUACACAAUUCAUACAUGAUCUAUAUUUGAUCUAUGUAUCCCUACAAUGUGCCUGCUGCGUCGACGUUUCGACCUAAUUUGGUCUUCUUCAGGACUGGGCACAUGUAACAGCUAAGGCUGCUGGGCCCCAAUUCAUAGGGGUGGACCAGCCAGCAGCCAGAAAGAAAUGAAAAGCCCUACCAACUUGUCUCCCUUUUAUAUCCCCUCCGCCAAAAAUUAGACUGAAUUUACUUGUAUUUAAGUUAUUUUCUACUCUAUUUAGUUUUUGAAAUCUUAACCCUUUCUGCACCGCUUGUGCUUUAAAUCCAUAUUAAUUAUGUUUAUUCACAUAUUUGUGCUUUUAAUAAACAAAUUAAUAGGUAUUUUUGAUCCCAAUAUUAGGGUUAGGGUCCUGCUUGACCUUUGACCUCUGUGGCCUGCUUGGCCGUUGGUCAUUAAGUUGCCUCUAAUGGUUAGGGUUAGGGCGAGUCCCAGGUUAGGGUUAGAAUCCCAUACUAGGGUUAGGGUUAGGGUUAGAUUCCCAGGUUGGGGUUAGUGCUGGGGUUAGGGUUAGGGGUCAGCGCUAUGGUUAGGGUUAGGGUGAGCGCCAUGGUUAGGGUUAGGGCUAGAUGCCAGGCUGGGGUUAUCAUCAGCAGCCGCCCGGACUGCGAGUCGGCUGAUUUUUUGCAGGUCGGGACCCAGGAAACGCGGCGACAGUGGACGUGGCACUGGCUGGAUAGGUUGGGGAAAUAAUCCCGUCUCCCCUAAAUUGCCCUACUUGGGUCGGCGGGGAGCGGGGAAUGCACGGGCCUACGCCCCGUCGGACACGCUCCCCAGGUCCCGAAAGGCUGGCGGCUACUUCCGCCAGCUGAACCGUAUUUGGUCUGGUGUGUAUUAAUUUGUAAUGAAGUUCAUGUAGUCCUAUUUGACUUACUCACACAUACACAAUUCAUACAUGAUCUAUAUUUGAUCUAUGUAUCCCUACAAUGUGCCUGCUGCGUCGACGUUUCGACCUAAUUUGGUCUUCUUCAGGACUGGGCACAUGUAACAGCUAAGGCUGCUGGGCCCCAAUUCAUAGGGGUGGACCAGCCAGCAGCCAGAAAGAAAUGAAAAGCCCUACCAACUUGUCUCCCUUUUAUAUCCCCUCCGCCAAAAAUUAGACUGAAUUUACUUGUAUUUAAGUUAUUUUCUACUCUAUUUAGUUUUUGAAAUCUUAACCCUUUCUGCACCGCUUGUGCUUUAAAUCCAUAUUAAUUAUGUUUAUUCACAUAUUUGUGCUUUUAAUAAACAAAUUAAUAGGUAUUUUUGAUCCCAAUAUUAGGGUUAGGGUCCUGCUUGACCUUUGACCUCUGUGGCCUGCUUGGCCGUUGGUCAUUAAGUUGCCUCUAAUGGUUAGGGUUAGGGCGAGUCCCAGGUUAGGGUUAGAAUCCCAUACUAGGGUUAGGGUUAGGGUUAGAUUCCCAGGUUGGGGUUAGUGCUGGGGUUAGGGUUAGGGGUCAGCGCUAUGGUUAGGGUUAGGGUGAGCGCCAUGGUUAGGGUUAGGGCUAGAUGCCAGGCUGGGGUUAUCAUCAGCAGCCGCCCGGACUGCGAGUCGGCUGAUUUUUUGCAGGUCGGGACCCAGGAAACGCGGCGACAGUGGACGUGGCACUGGCUGGAUAGGUUGGGGAAAUAAUCCCGUCUCCCCUAAAUUGCCCUACUUGGGUCGGCGGGGAGCGGGGAAUGCACGGGCCUACGCCCCGUCGGACACGCUCCCCAGGUCCCGAAAGGCUGGCGGCUACUUCCGCCAGCUGAACCGUAUUUGGUCUGGUGUGUAUUAAUUUGUAAUGAAGUUCAUGUAGUCCUAUUUGACUUACUCACACAUACACAAUUCAUACAUGAUCUAUAUUUGAUCUAUGUAUCCCUACAAUGUGCCUGCUGCGUCGACGUUUCGACCUAAUUUGGUCUUCUUCAGGACUGGGCACAUGUAACAGCUAAGGCUGCUGGGCCCCAAUUCAUAGGGGUGGACCAGCCAGCAGCCAGAAAGAAAUGAAAAGCCCUACCAACUUGUCUCCCUUUUAUAUCCCCUCCGCCAAAAAUUAGACUGAAUUUACUUGUAUUUAAGUUAUUUUCUACUCUAUUUAGUUUUUGAAAUCUUAACCCUUUCUGCACCGCUUGUGCUUUAAAUCCAUAUUAAUUAUGUUUAUUCACAUAUUUGUGCUUUUAAUAAACAAAUUAAUAGGUAUUUUUGAUCCCAAUAUUAGGGUUAGGGUCCUGCUUGACCUUUGACCUCUGUGGCCUGCUUGGCCGUUGGUCAUUAAGUUGCCUCUAAUGGUUAGGGUUAGGGCGAGUCCCAGGUUAGGGUUAGAAUCCCAUACUAGGGUUAGGGUUAGGGUUAGAUUCCCAGGUUGGGGUUAGUGCUGGGGUUAGGGUUAGGGGUCAGCGCUAUGGUUAGGGUUAGGGUGAGCGCCAUGGUUAGGGUUAGGGCUAGAUGCCAGGCUGGGGUUAUCAUCAGCAGCCGCCCGGACUGCGAGUCGGCUGAUUUUUUGCAGGUCGGGACCCAGGAAACGCGGCGACAGUGGACGUGGCACUGGCUGGAUAGGUUGGGGAAAUAAUCCCGUCUCCCCUAAAUUGCCCUACUUGGGUCGGCGGGGAGCGGGGAAUGCACGGGCCUACGCCCCGUCGGACACGCUCCCCAGGUCCCGAAAGGCUGGCGGCUACUUCCGCCAGCUGAACCGUAUUUGGUCUGGUGUGUAUUAAUUUGUAAUGAAGUUCAUGUAGUCCUAUUUGACUUACUCACACAUACACAAUUCAUACAUGAUCUAUAUUUGAUCUAUGUAUCCCUACAAUGUGCCUGCUGCGUCGACGUUUCGACCUAAUUUGGUCUUCUUCAGGACUGGGCACAUGUAACAGCUAAGGCUGCUGGGCCCCAAUUCAUAGGGGUGGACCAGCCAGCAGCCAGAAAGAAAUGAAAAGCCCUACCAACUUGUCUCCCUUUUAUAUCCCCUCCGCCAAAAAUUAGACUGAAUUUACUUGUAUUUAAGUUAUUUUCUACUCUAUUUAGUUUUUGAAAUCUUAACCCUUUCUGCACCGCUUGUGCUUUAAAUCCAUAUUAAUUAUGUUUAUUCACAUAUUUGUGCUUUUAAUAAACAAAUUAAUAGGUAUUUUUGAUCCCAAUAUUAGGGUUAGGGUCCUGCUUGACCUUUGACCUCUGUGGCCUGCUUGGCCGUUGGUCAUUAAGUUGCCUCUAAUGGUUAGGGUUAGGGCGAGUCCCAGGUUAGGGUUAGAAUCCCAUACUAGGGUUAGGGUUAGGGUUAGAUUCCCAGGUUGGGGUUAGUGCUGGGGUUAGGGUUAGGGGUCAGCGCUAUGGUUAGGGUUAGGGUGAGCGCCAUGGUCAGGGUUAGGGCUAGAUGCCAGGCUGGGGUUAUCAUCAGCAGCCGCCCGGACUGCGAGUCGGCUGAUUUUUUGCAGGUCGGGACCCAGGAAACGCGGCGACAGUGGACGUGGCACUGGCUGGAUAGGUUGGGGAAACAAUCCCGUCUCCCCUAAAUUGCCCUACUUGGGUCGGCGGGGAGCGGGGAAUGCACGGGCCUACGCCCCGUCGGACACGCUCCCCAGGUCCCGAAAGGCUGGCGGCUACUUCCGCCAGCUGAACCGUAUUUGGUCUGGUGUGUAUUAAUUUGUAAUGAAGUUCAUGUAGUCCUAUUUGACUUACUCACACAUACACAAUUCAUACAUGAUCUAUAUUUGAUCUAUGUAUCCCUACAAUGUGCCUGCUGCGUCGACGUUUCGACCUAAUUUGGUCUUCUUCAGGACUGGGCACAUGUAACAGCUAAGGCUGCUGGGCCCCAAUUCAUAGGGGUGGACCAGCCAGCAGCCAGAAAGAAAUGAAAAGCCCUACCAACUUGUCUCCCUUUUAUAUCCCCUCCGCCAAAAAUUAGACUGAAUUUACUUGUAUUUAAGUUAUUUUCUACUCUAUUUAGUUUUUGAAAUCUUAACCCUUUCUGCACCGCUUGUGCUUUAAAUCCAUAUUAAUUAUGUUUAUUCACAUAUUUGUGCUUUUAAUAAACAAAUUAAUAGGUAUUUUUGAUCCCAAUAUUAGGGUUAGGGUCCUGCUUGACCUUUGACCUCUGUGGCCUGCUUGGCCGUUGGUCAUUAAGUUGCCUCUAAUGGUUAGGGUUAGGGCGAGUCCCAGGUUAGGGUUAGAAUCCCAUACUAGGGUUAGGGUUAGGGUUAGAUUCCCAGGUUGGGGUUAGUGCUGGGGUUAGGGUUAGGGGUCAGCGCUAUGGUUAGGGUUAGGGUGAGCGCCAUGGUCAGGGUUAGGGCUAGAUGCCAGGCUGGGGUUAUCAUCAGCAGCCGCCCGGACUGCGAGUCGGCUGAUUUUUUGCAGGUCGGGACCCAGGAAACGCGGCGACAGUGGACGUGGCACUGGCUGGAUAGGUUGGGGAAACAAUCCCGUCUCCCCUAAAUUGCCCUACUUGGGUCGGCGGGGAGCGGGGAAUGCACGGGCCUACGCCCCGUCGGACACGCUCCCCAGGUCCCGAAAGGCUGGCGGCUACUUCCGCCAGCUGAACCGUAUUUGGUCUGGUGUGUAUUAAUUUGUAAUGAAGUUCAUGUAGUCCUAUUUGACUUACUCACACAUACACAAUUCAUACAUGAUCUAUAUUUGAUCUAUGUAUCCCUACAAUGUGCCUGCUGCGUCGACGUUUCGACCUAAUUUGGUCUUCUUCAGGACUGGGCACAUGUAACAGCUAAGGCUGCUGGGCCCCAAUUCAUAGGGGUGGACCAGCCAGCAGCCAGAAAGAAAUGAAAAGCCCUACCAACUUGUCUCCCUUUUAUAUCCCCUCCGCCAAAAAUUAGACUGAAUUUACUUGUAUUUAAGUUAUUUUCUACUCUAUUUAGUUUUUGAAAUCUUAACCCUUUCUGCACCGCUUGUGCUUUAAAUCCAUAUUAAUUAUGUUUAUUCACAUAUUUGUGCUUUUAAUAAACAAAUUAAUAGGUAUUUUUGAUCCCAAUAUUAGGGUUAGGGUCCUGCUUGACCUUUGACCUCUGUGGCCUGCUUGGCCGUUGGUCAUUAAGUUGCCUCUAAUGGUUAGGGUUAGGGCGAGUCCCAGGUUAGGGUUAGAAUCCCAUACUAGGGUUAGGGUUAGGGUUAGAUUCCCAGGUUGGGGUUAGUGCUGGGGUUAGGGUUAGGGGUCAGCGCUAUGGUUAGGGUUAGGGUGAGCGCCAUGGUCAGGGUUAGGGCUAGAUGCCAGGCUGGGGUUAUCAUCAGCAGCCGCCCGGACUGCGAGUCGGCUGAUUUUUUGCAGGUCGGGACCCAGGAAACGCGGCGACAGUGGACGUGGCACUGGCUGGAUAGGUUGGGGAAACAAUCCCGUCUCCCCUAAAUUGCCCUACUUGGGUCGGCGGGGAGCGGGGAAUGCACGGGCCUACGCCCCGUCGGACACGCUCCCCAGGUCUCGAAAGGCUGGCGGCUACUUCCGCCAGCUGAACCGUAUUUGGUCUGGUGUGUAUUAAUUUGUAAUGAAGUUCAUGUAGUCCUAUUUGACUUACUCACACAUACACAAUUCAUACAUGAUCUAUAUUUGAUCUAUGUAUCCCUACAAUGUGCCUGCUGCGUCGACGUUUCGACCUAAUUUGGUCUUCUUCAGGACUGGGCACAUGUAACAGCUAAGGCUGCUGGGCCCCAAUUCAUAGGGGUGGACCAGCCAGCAGCCAGAAAGAAAUGAAAAGCCCUACCAACUUGUCUCCCUUUUAUAUCCCCUCCGCCAAAAAUUAGACUGAAUUUACUUGUAUUUAAGUUAUUUUCUACUCUAUUUAGUUUUUGAAAUCUUAACCCUUUCUGCACCGCUUGUGCUUUAAAUCCAUAUUAAUUAUGUUUAUUCACAUAUUUGUGCUUUUAAUAAACAAAUUAAUAGGUAUUUUUGAUCCCAAUAUUAGGGUUAGGGUCCUGCUUGACCUUUGACCUCUGUGGCCUGCUUGGCCGUUGGUCAUUAAGUUGCCUCUAAUGGUUAGGGUUAGGGCGAGUCCCAGGUUAGGGUUAGAAUCCCAUACUAGGGUUAGGGUUAGGGUUAGAUUCCCAGGUUGGGGUUAGUGCUGGGGUUAGGGUUAGGGGUCAGCGCUAUGGUUAGGGUUAGGGUGAGCGCCAUGGUUAGGGUUAGGGCUAGAUGCCAGGCUGGGGUUAUCAUCAGCAGCCGCCCGGACUGCGAGUCGGCUGAUUUUUUGCAGGUCGGGACCCAGGAAACGCGGCGACAGUGGACGUGGCACUGGCUGGAUAGGUUGGGGAAAUAAUCCCGUCUCCCCUAAAUUGCCCUACUUGGGUCGGCGGGGAGCGGGGAAUGCACGGGCCUACGCCCCGUCGGACACGCUCCCCAGGUCCCGAAAGGCUGGCGGCUACUUCCGCCAGCUGAACCGUAUUUGGUCUGGUGUGUAUUAAUUUGUAAUGAAGUUCAUGUAGUCCUAUUUGACUUACUCACACAUACACAAUUCAUACAUGAUCUAUAUUUGAUCUAUGUAUCCCUACAAUGUGCCUGCUGCGUCGACGUUUCGACCUAAUUUGGUCUUCUUCAGGACUGGGCACAUGUAACAGCUAAGGCUGCUGGGCCCCAAUUCAUAGGGGUGGACCAGCCAGCAGCCAGAAAGAAAUGAAAAGCCCUACCAACUUGUCUCCCUUUUAUAUCCCCUCCGCCAAAAAUUAGACUGAAUUUACUUGUAUUUAAGUUAUUUUCUACUCUAUUUAGUUUUUGAAAUCUUAACCCUUUCUGCACCGCUUGUGCUUUAAAUCCAUAUUAAUUAUGUUUAUUCACAUAUUUGUGCUUUUAAUAAACAAAUUAAUAGGUAUUUUUGAUCCCAAUAUUAGGGUUAGGGUCCUGCUUGACCUUUGACCUCUGUGGCCUGCUUGGCCGUUGGUCAUUAAGUUGCCUCUAAUGGUUAGGGUUAGGGCGAGUCCCAGGUUAGGGUUAGAAUCCCAUACUAGGGUUAGGGUUAGGGUUAGAUUCCCAGGUUGGGGUUAGUGCUGGGGUUAGGGUUAGGGGUCAGCGCUAUGGUUAGGGUUAGGGUGAGCGCCAUGGUUAGGGUUAGGGCUAGAUGCCAGGCUGGGGUUAUCAUCAGCAGCCGCCCGGACUGCGAGUCGGCUGAUUUUUUGCAGGUCGGGACCCAGGAAACGCGGCGACAGUGGACGUGGCACUGGCUGGAUAGGUUGGGGAAAUAAUCCCGUCUCCCCUAAAUUGCCCUACUUGGGUCGGCGGGGAGCGGGGAAUGCACGGGCCUACGCCCCGUCGGACACGCUCCCCAGGUCUCGAAAGGCUGGCGGCUACUUCCGCCAGCUGAACCGUAUUUGGUCUGGUGUGUAUUAAUUUGUAAUGAAGUUCAUGUAGUCCUAUUUGACUUACUCACACAUACACAAUUCAUACAUGAUCUAUAUUUGAUCUAUGUAUCCCUACAAUGUGCCUGCUGCGUCGACGUUUCGACCUAAUUUGGUCUUCUUCAGGACUGGGCACAUGUAACAGCUAAGGCUGCUGGGCCCCAAUUCAUAGGGGUGGACCAGCCAGCAGCCAGAAAGAAAUGAAAAGCCCUACCAACUUGUCUCCCUUUUAUAUCCCCUCCGCCAAAAAUUAGACUGAAUUUACUUGUAUUUAAGUUAUUUUCUACUCUAUUUAGUUUUUGAAAUCUUAACCCUUUCUGCACCGCUUGUGCUUUAAAUCCAUAUUAAUUAUGUUUAUUCACAUAUUUGUGCUUUUAAUAAACAAAUUAAUAGGUAUUUUUGAUCCCAAUAUUAGGGUUAGGGUCCUGCUUGACCUUUGACCUCUGUGGCCUGCUUGGCCGUUGGUCAUUAAGUUGCCUCUAAUGGUUAGGGUUAGGGCGAGUCCCAGGUUAGGGUUAGAAUCCCAUACUAGGGUUAGGGUUAGGGUUAGAUUCCCAGGUUGGGGUUAGUGCUGGGGUUAGGGUUAGGGGUCAGCGCUAUGGUUAGGGUUAGGGUGAGCGCCAUGGUUAGGGUUAGGGCUAGAUGCCAGGCUGGGGUUAUCAUCAGCAGCCGCCCGGACUGCGAGUCGGCUGAUUUUUUGCAGGUCGGGACCCAGGAAACGCGGCGACAGUGGACGUGGCACUGGCUGGAUAGGUUGGGGAAAUAAUCCCGUCUCCCCUAAAUUGCCCUACUUGGGUCGGCGGGGAGCGGGGAAUGCACGGGCCUACGCCCCGUCGGACACGCUCCCCAGGUCCCGAAAGGCUGGCGGCUACUUCCGCCAGCUGAACCGUAUUUGGUCUGGUGUGUAUUAAUUUGUAAUGAAGUUCAUGUAGUCCUAUUUGACUUACUCACACAUACACAAUUCAUACAUGAUCUAUAUUUGAUCUAUGUAUCCCUACAAUGUGCCUGCUGCGUCGACGUUUCGACCUAAUUUGGUCUUCUUCAGGACUGGGCACAUGUAACAGCUAAGGCUGCUGGGCCCCAAUUCAUAGGGGUGGACCAGCCAGCAGCCAGAAAGAAAUGAAAAGCCCUACCAACUUGUCUCCCUUUUAUAUCCCCUCCGCCAAAAAUUAGACUGAAUUUACUUGUAUUUAAGUUAUUUUCUACUCUAUUUAGUUUUUGAAAUCUUAACCCUUUCUGCACCGCUUGUGCUUUAAAUCCAUAUUAAUUAUGUUUAUUCACAUAUUUGUGCUUUUAAUAAACAAAUUAAUAGGUAUUUUUGAUCCCAAUAUUAGGGUUAGGGUCCUGCUUGACCUUUGACCUCUGUGGCCUGCUUGGCCGUUGGUCAUUAAGUUGCCUCUAAUGGUUAGGGUUAGGGCGAGUCCCAGGUUAGGGUUAGAAUCCCAUACUAGGGUUAGGGUUAGGGUUAGAUUCCCAGGUUGGGGUUAGUGCUGGGGUUAGGGUUAGGGGUCAGCGCUAUGGUUAGGGUUAGGGUGAGCGCCAUGGUCAGGGUUAGGGCUAGAUGCCAGGCUGGGGUUAUCAUCAGCAGCCGCCCGGACUGCGAGUCGGCUGAUUUUUUGCAGGUCGGGACCCAGGAAACGCGGCGACAGUGGACGUGGCACUGGCUGGAUAGGUUGGGGAAAUAAUCCCGUCUCCCCUAAAUUGCCCUACUUGGGUCGGCGGGGAGCGGGGAAUGCACGGGCCUACGCCCCGUCGGACACGCUCCCCAGGUCCCGAAAGGCUGGCGGCUACUUCCGCCAGCUGAACCGUAUUUGGUCUGGUGUGUAUUAAUUUGUAAUGAAGUUCAUGUAGUCCUAUUUGACUUACUCACACAUACACAAUUCAUACAUGAUCUAUAUUUGAUCUAUGUAUCCCUACAAUGUGCCUGCUGCGUCGACGUUUCGACCUAAUUUGGUCUUCUUCAGGACUGGGCACAUGUAACAGCUAAGGCUGCUGGGCCCCAAUUCAUAGGGGUGGACCAGCCAGCAGCCAGAAAGAAAUGAAAAGCCCUACCAACUUGUCUCCCUUUUAUAUCCCCUCCGCCAAAAAUUAGACUGAAUUUACUUGUAUUUAAGUUAUUUUCUACUCUAUUUAGUUUUUGAAAUCUUAACCCUUUCUGCACCGCUUGUGCUUUAAAUCCAUAUUAAUUAUGUUUAUUCACAUAUUUGUGCUUUUAAUAAACAAAUUAAUAGGUAUUUUUGAUCCCAAUAUUAGGGUUAGGGUCCUGCUUGACCUUUGACCUCUGUGGCCUGCUUGGCCGUUGGUCAUUAAGUUGCCUCUAAUGGUUAGGGUUAGGGCGAGUCCCAGGUUAGGGUUAGAAUCCCAUACUAGGGUUAGGGUUAGGGUUAGAUUCCCAGGUUGGGGUUAGUGCUGGGGUUAGGGUUAGGGGUCAGCGCUAUGGUUAGGGUUAGGGUGAGCGCCAUGGUUAGGGUUAGGGCUAGAUGCCAGGCUGG